rnacentral:lncRNA from 1 species
CUCUGCAAAGAUCUUUGUGUGUCUGGCUCUGGGGUGUGUGUUUUUAUUUUUUUAGUGGGGGGUGGUUUAGUUUUUGAAAGCAGCGUCCUGUUGGGAAAGGUGGUUAGUCUGGUUUCGGGGCGACUGUCUCAAGGUAAAGGAAUUUAAUUUAUUUGGGACAAGGCUGUGUCGGAUGAUCAAGCUGCUUAUUAUGGCUAAUGAGUAUUUUUCACCUGAGAAUCUGUGGGAUGAGGUGGCUGUUAUCAGUUCAAAGUGAGGGGCCCCGGACUGUCUCCCACCUGCCUCUUUAGCCCCCACCCUAGGGGUGGUGAUGGACCAGACAGACUACUCAACGUAGGCAUCUGGGUUUGGGGGCCUCCUGUGGGACAAGGCCGGGGGCUCCAGGAGGCCUGGUGCUCACCUGGGGCAGUUUAUCCUGAUAUUUUGGUGUUUUCUUGGGUUUAAUCUAAUUCUUUCCAGUGUUUUUGCCUUCAGCUCUUGCGGGCUUCCCAUGGGCCCUGGCUAUUGAAACCAAAUUUUGACCAGGACCCUCACGUGCUAGGUUGACAAAAGCAGCUGUCUUCUUAAAUGUUUUAAAAGAAACAAGCAGCCCGAUCAUUCAUUGAGACUGAUCUCUGAACUCUCCUGGUUCAUUGAUGGGAUAGGUGAUACUGGUGGCUGUUAGCGUUGUUGUUUAUAAUAGGCCCAAGUUCACAGCAUCGGCCCUUGGGACCCAUGAGCUGAUAUCUGACCUUCUAAAGGUCAGUGGGCAGAGAGACCGGAGGCAGCCCUGAGGGGAUGAGGAUGGGUGGCACGGUGGCCGGUGAAGAAGGGCCUGUGUUUGUUGGGGGGAGGUGUCAUUUGCAGAGUUUGAGGACUGUGUGACACCAGGUGUGAUCUUGGCUGGUCUGACGUGGAGGGCCUGGGGACCUCUGCGCCCGGGAAGGGUGUGACACCCCCUGCUGGGCAAAGUGGUAAAGGUGUCUAAGGCCAAGGCUGCCACCCUGCCCCUCCCUGCCCUCCACUCCCACAGAGAACCUGCCUGCCCCCACCUCCAGUCGGUGUCUCAUCACCUCCCUCUCAGGCCCCACCCCCUUUCUUCGGAAAUGGGGCCCCCACCCAUCCCAGCCAAGAAGCAGACCUCAGAGAUGGGCCUGGUGGCAAUGCACCACCCCUUACCUGGGGCAGGAGAGCCUCUGCUUGUGGGCCAGCACACAGGACCCAGGCAUUGCAGAGCUGGAAGGCAGGCCCUCUGGUCGGCCUCCUCCUAACCUGGGUGCCAGCUGGAGCCAGCGUCCAUCCUCCUGCCAUCCACCAACCAGUCCCUCCAAGUCUGUCGUGGGGACAGUACUCCAAAGCCCUUCUCUAGGGUGUCCUGACUGGAGCGAGGGCCUCCCAGCCCUGGUAGGAGGCAGGUGGCAGAGCCUCUUGUGGCUUCUCUCCUGGGCCUUAGGGAGACUGACUUCUCCCAGCACUCCAGGGACAGGCUCUGGAAACUUUUCCUAGAAGCUAGAAGGGACCCUGAGGUCAGCUGCUUCCUCCUGUAGCUGGAGUAGAGCACUCCCAGUGGGACUCAGGCCUGGACUCUGGCCACUCAGAGGGGAGGCCCAGGGUGGCAGAGUUCUGACUGUUUCCUGGAGGAGUCAUCUGGUGAUACCAUCUCAGUCUCUUCUUUGAACUUGGAAGUUUCACUUAUAAUCUCAGAACUUCAGAAGAAAAGCAGUCUUCCCCCCACUUCACCAAAAAAGGGAAGCAGAUGAGGACGCUGAGAUCCCCUCUGAGCUGGUCCCUGGGCUGACUCCAUGCUCAUCUUCAGGAGCUGGGAACAGCUCCCUCAACUUCAUAGUGCACACGGCAUACAGCUGGGGCCAUGGGCCUCGUCUCUGGCCGGGGCUCGUGGCUGGUGAAGUGAGGGUCCCUUCCUCUGGGGCAGCGUGGGCAGCUUCAGCCGAGGGCCUCUCUGACAUAGUCCAAGGCCAGGGGCGCAGGCCUCGAAGGGCUGCUGGCAUCAUGGACCCACCAUGCCUCCCUGAUCGGGAGGGUUGCAGGUGGGUGGAACGCACUCCGACUUGUCUCUGUGGUGAAAUGGAAGUGAAAGGACUGGACGCAGAGCCCUUCAGGAAGCAUGUCUAACCGAACGGGCAUUCUCCUAGGAGACAGGUUCACGAUGCAUGUUUGCUGGAUAUGUUUCUGUGUAAGCAGAGACUUGCUGGAAGGGAAGAUGGGGACCUUGCCCCCCGGUUC